CACGUAGUUAGCCGUGGCUUUCUGGUUAGGUACCGUCAAGGUGCCGCCCUAUUUGAACGGCACUUGUUCUUCCCUAACAACAGAGCUUUACGAUCCGAAAACCUUCAUCACUCACGCGGCGUUGCUCCGUCAGACUUUCGUCCAUUGCGGAAGAUUCCCUACUGCUGCCUCCCGUAGGAGUCUGGGCCGUGUCUCAGUCCCAGUGUGGCCGAUCACCCUCUCAGGUCGGCUACGCAUCGUCGCCUUGGUGAGCCGUUACCUCACCAACUAGCUAAUGCGCCGCGGGUCCAUCUGUAAGUGGUAGCCGAAGCCACCUUUUAUGUCUGAACCAUGCGGUUCAGACAACCAUCCGGUAUUAGCCCCGGUUUCCCGGAGUUAUCCCAGUCUUACAGGCAGGUUACCCACGUGUUACUCACCCGUCCGCCGCUAACAUCAGGGAGCAAGCUCCCAUCCUGUCCGCUCGACUUGCAUGUAUUAGGCACGCCCGCCAGCCGUUCGUCCUGAGCCAGGAUCAAA
rnacentral:rRNA from 1 species